GCCUGGGUGGUGUAGCGGUAACAUAGGGGACUGUGGAUCCCCUGUCCCGGGUUCAAAUCCCGGCCCGGGCC
rnacentral:tRNA from 2 species